rnacentral:ncRNA from 1 species
UUAUGAUAGAGGCGCAGGUGCUAAGAGUAGCGUUUUUCGACGGCUUCGCAGGCUAUGGAGAGCGUGAAAGGCGUAUCUGCCGAAAGUGGAGCAGGCGAAAGCUUCUCUUGGGAGUGCGGAGAAUAUCCGUACUACUGUCGCUGAUGCGGAGAGCUAUCUU